CCUACGGGUGACUGCAGUGAGGAAUAUUGGUCAAUGGACGAGAGUCUGAACCAGCCAAGUAGCGUGAAGGAUGACUGCCCUAUGGGUUGUAAACUUCUUUUAUAAAGGAAUAAAACGAGGCACGUGUGCCUUUUUGCAUGUACUUUAUGAAUAAGGAUCGGCUACCUCCGUGCCAGCAGCCGCGGUAAUACGGAGGAUCCGAGCGUUAUCCGGAUUUAUUGGGUUUAAAGGGAGCGUAGAUGGGUUGUUAAGUCAGUUGUGAAAGUUUGCGGCUCAACCGUAAAAUUGCAAUUGAUACUGGCAGUCGUGAGUACAGUUGAGGUAGGCGGAAUUCGUGGUGUAGCGGUGAAAUGCUUAGAUAUCACGAAGAACCCCGAUUGCGAAGGCAGCUUACUAAACUGUGACUGACAUUGAUGCUCGAAAGUGUGGGUAUCAAACAGGAUUAGAUACCCUUGUAGUC
rnacentral:rRNA from 1 species